rnacentral:lncRNA from 1 species
CGGGCAUGGCGCCCAUGCACAUGGCGUGGUGCCGCCGACGCUCCUGCAACAUGGCCACCAGAGCCGGGAGGGCGUCGGGGGCGCCGCGUCGUCGUGCCGCCCGAGCGACGCGCACGGCCUUUUUCCUCUCUUUGGCCUGUCGGGCGGUCCCUCUGUCGUCGGUGACGCGACGCGUGCACUGCAUCCAGACUGGUGUGUGUGUGCGUGCCGUCGCUGUAUUGUCGUCGUUGUCGUCGUCGUCGCAGUGCAAUGGGCCGAUCCGGUUCAGGACAGCCGUGCGUCCCCCCUUUUUUUCGUGUAGUCUCUGUCGGCCAUUGGCUUGGAAGAAGGCGCGCGCACCAAUCGCAAAUUGCUCCGCCCUUUUUUAACAGGAGCGAUUUUUUUCUCGGCGCACCCCUUUUGGCAUGCAAUUUUUACCCCGUCUUUUUUUUCUUGCCGGCAAAGGCGCGUAUUCCAGACGCGCAAUUUUUCACGGGGCCGGGCGUGAUGGCGAUGGCCUUGCCGCGGCGCCGCGCCCAUUGCCGACAAACAGGGUCUCGAAAAAGAAACUUGGG